rnacentral:lncRNA from 1 species
AUGGGUAAAUACAUGGUUUUAUUUUUCCUUUUCUUUUCUUUUUUUUGAGAUGGUGUCUCUCUAUGUUGCCUAGCCUGGUCUCGAACUCCUGGGCUCAAGUGAUCCUCCUGCCUCAGCCUCCCAAAGUGCUAAGAUUACUGGUGUGAGCCACCAUGCCGGUCCAGCAAUCCAUGGUUCCAUAUAGGGAUGGGAUCUCACUGCAUUGCUCAGGCUGGUCUCAAACUCCUGGGCUCAAGCAAUCUUCCUGCCUUAGCUUCCCAAAGUUCUGGGAUUACAGGCAUGAGCCACCACUCCCAGCCAAAAAAAAAAAUACUCAUUUAAAGCUGCACAAGUUUGAUGGCACAAGUCUGUAUAACUGGACCUGUGCCUUUAUAAAACCUCAAACACUGCAAAGGUUCAUGAAACAAUGUAUAUCUAUUCUUCUUAUUCACUGUCAUCAAUGCUGACCAGGGAAAAUUGCACAGGUGCACGUGUGUGUGUGUGUGUGUAGGGCUAGUGAAGCAGGCAACUACCAGAGAUACAUUAUUAAAAAGCUAACAUUUAUUGGCCAGGCGCGGUGGCUUACGUCUGUAAUCCCAGCACUCUCACGGGUGGUGCCUCCCCGGCAAUGGGGGUCCCAAGAUCCAGGGGGGGAAAAGGGGAUGGCUCUCAGCCACCACAAAAUGGGGGGCCUUUAUGUUCAGGUUUUGCCCAAGAGUCAGCUUAUUUGCUUCUUGUACUAGCAGGGCAGUUGCUGCCAAGGCCUCAAACAGGGGAGCCAUCCUUCAGAAACCCUGUCUAGUUGUUCAGAGACGUAGGCCACCGGCCUCAGCCAGGGCCCCACAGUUUGGGUUAAAAGUCCAGCUGCCAUCUUUUCUCUCUCUAACGCAUACAAUGGAAAAGGCUUUGUCAGAUCGGGUAGCCCCAGGGCUGGGGCUGCCAGAAGUUUUUCCUUUAAGUCAUGAAAGACUUGCUGUUCUUGGAUCCCCAUUCCAAAGGUUCCGGUCCCCGCCCCCUUUGUGACCUCAUACAAAGGCUUGGCUAAUACUGCAAAGUUUGGGAUCCACAGUCUACAAAACCCCACAUCCCCUGAGAAUUCUCUCGCCUGCCUUAGGCACUUAGGCUCCGGGAGAUUGCAAAUAACCUGCUUUCUUUCUGUUCCCGGGCUGCGUUCGGACUCCUGUCAGAUAGUAAAUCCUAAGUGGCGUCGGACCCCUGUCAGAGAGUAAAUCUCAAGUAAGGUACCUGCCAUCGGCAGAUUUGAGCUUUCUUCUUGGACACCUAAUACCCACAGUCCUCCAGGCUCCGGUAGACUGCAAAUGACCUGCUUUCUUUCUGUUCCCGGGCUGCGUUUGGACCCCUGUCGGAUAGUAAAUCCCAAGCUCCGGUAGACUGCAAAUGACCUGCUUUCUUUCUGUUCCCGGGCUGCGUUUGGACCCCUGUCGGACAGUAAAUCCCAAGUAAGGUACCUGCCCUCGGCAGAUUUGAGCUUUCUUCUUGGACACCUAAUACCCACAGUCCUCCAGGAAUGGAACAGAUAAGAAGAUACUGAAAUUGGACGGUGCUGCCGUGCGGCUGCCGCAGGACACCUUUAAUAUCCCUGUUUCUCAGGCUGUAGAUGAAGGGGUUCAGCAUGGAGGUGAUCACCGUGUACAUCACUGAGGCCACUGCAGCCUUUCUCGGGGAAGAUGACACAUCUGAACUGAGGUACCCUCCAAAGCCUGUUCCGUAAAAUCAGCAAACAACUGACAGGAUAACUUCAGGAAGUGGGUAUUAAUUCUCACGGUAUAAGUGAAGACAUUAAGCACCAGAGUUUAAGUAGCUUGAUCCACUGAAAGAGAUUCAACUGUGUGGAACCUAUGCCGUGGAGAAUUGCUUUCUGCCAUUGUUAUCGUCCAGCAGUUGCCGAAUAGCUCUGACCUGAGCAAAGCAGUGAAACGCGGUGCUGUUGAGUGGGUUGCCACUGCACCUUUUUCAACUACUCUAGUCUUGUGGAGAAAAUACCCCUUCUAAAUUUUUUCUUCAUUGAAUACUCUCCCUCAGCUCCAGAGUACCAUAUAGAGUUUUCUUGUAUUUUAGAGUUACUGUUUUAUCAAAGUUUACCAGUCUUUUGUAUUACAUUUCUCCUGUCUAAAUCGACUGUGUGGUUUCUACUCAUUAUGGAUAUAGAUUGAUACAAACUCAAUAAAUAUUUUUGAAUGAAUAACUCCACAGUCCAAGUUAUUUUAAUCACUAUACAAAAUCUCCAGAGUUUCUCCCAUAUUUCUGAACAUGGUAACUAUGUAUCAAGAGACAAAC